GUCGUCGCGAGACGGUAUUUGAAGGAAGCUGUAAGCAAAGCGCCGGUUCGACGACAGCCCGAGCAUAUGUGGCGUCCGCAUCUGGGCAAGGCUGCCACAAAACCCGAAGCCCGAUAUUGCCCCGAAGGUGUCGCCCUAUGCCGGCCGACCAUGAUGGGGUGCGCUUGGC
rfam:Bradyrhizobium manausense strain BR3351 contig2077, whole genome shotgun sequence.